UGCACGCAUGACUUUAAGUUGCUUUGGAUAAAAGCGCCUGCUAAAUGGCAUACA
rfam:Salmo salar isolate Sally breed double haploid chromosome ssa10, whole genome shotgun sequence.